rnacentral:rRNA from 1 species
UACAGAGGAUGCAAGCGUUAUCCGGAAUGAUUGGGCGUAAAGCGUCUGUAGGUGGCUUUUUAAGUCCGCCGUCAAAUCCCAGGGCUCAACUCUGGACAGGCGGUGGAAACUACCAAGCUGGAGUACGGUAGGGGCAGAGGGAAUUUCCGGUGGAGCGGUGAAAUGCGUAGAGAUCGGAAAGAACACCAAAGGCGAAGGCAGUGUCCUGGGGAGUACCUGACGCUCAGGUGCGAAAGCCAGGGGAGCGAACGGG